GUUCGAUCUCAAAUCAGGUAGGACUACCCGCUGAACUUAAGCAUAUCAAUAAGCGGAGGAAAAGAAACUAACAAGGAUUCCCCUAGUAACUGCGAGUGAAGCGGGAAGAGC
rnacentral:rRNA from 1 species